CGCGUGGGAAUGUACCCUUUUCUAAGGAAUAGCCUCGGGAAACUGAGAGUAAUACCUUAUACGCCCUCGGGAAGGAUUAUCGGAGAAGGAUCAGCCCGCGUUAGAUUAGAUAGUUGGUGGGGUAAGUGGCCUACCAAGUCUACGAUCUAUAGCUGGUUUUAGUAGGAUGAUCAGCAACACUGGGACGUGAGACACGGCCCACGACUCCUACGGGAGGCAGCAGUGGGGAAGUCUUGGACAAUGGGCGCAAGCCUGAUCCAGCCAUGCCGCGUGAGUGAUGAAGGCCUUAGGGUCGUAAAG
rnacentral:rRNA from 1 species